UCAAAGAGAGCUUGUCUAAAUAGCUGUGU
rnacentral:piRNA from 1 species